UGGGGGAUAUUGGACAAUGGGGGAAACCCUGAUCCAGCGAUGCCGCGUGAGGGAAGAAGGUUUUCGGAUUGUAAACCUCUGUGGAGGGGGACGAUAAUGACGGUACCCCUCAAGGAAGCCACGGCUAACUACGUGCCAGCAGCCGCGGUAAUACGUAGGUGGCGAGCGUUGUCCGGAAUUACUGGGUGUAAAGGGAGUGUAGGCGGGAAUGCAAGUCAGAAGUGAAAAUUACGGGCUCAACCCGUAGCCUGCUUUUGAAACUGUAUUUCUUGAGUGAAGUAGAGGCAAGCGGAAUUCCAAGUGUAGCGGUGAAAUGCGUAGAUAUUUGGAGGAACACCAGUGGCGAAGGCGGCUUGCUGGGCUUUUACUGACGCUGAGGCUCGAAAGCGUGGGGAGCAAACAGG
rnacentral:rRNA from 1 species